GAUGAACGCUGGCGGCGUGCCUAAUACAUGCAAGUCGAGCGAAUGGAUUAAGAGCUUGCUCUUAUGAAGUUAGCGGCGGACGGGUGAGUAACACGUGGGUAACCUGCCCAUAAGACUGGGAUAACUCCGGGAAACCGGGGCUAAUACCGGAUAACAUUUUGAACCGCAUGGUUCGAAAUUGAAAGGCGGCUUCGGCUGUCACUUAUGGAUGGACCCGCGUCGCAUUAGCUAGUUGGUGAGGUAACGGCUCACCAAGGCAACGAUGCGUAGCCGACCUGAGAGGGGGAUCGGACACACUGGGACUGAGACACGGCCCAGACUCCCACGGGAGGCAGCAGUAGGGAAUCUUCCGCAAUGGACGAAAGUCUGACGGAGCAACGCCGCGUGAGUGAUGAAGGCUUUCGGGUCGUAAAACUCUGUUGUUAGGGAAGAACAAGUGCUAGUUGAAUAAGCUGGCACCUUGACGGUACUUUCAGAAGAAGCCCCGGCUAACUACGUGCCAGCAGCCGCAGUAA
rnacentral:rRNA from 1 species